ACUUUUGUUAAAAUAUUUAAAAGAUUUAGGGGAGGAGUUUAAGAUUAUCUUUAGAUUUAGAUUUUGGUUUGAUGAAGUGAAAGUUGUGGGUUUAACUUCCCUUCCGUCAUGAAUUCGGUAACCAAGAAAUCUACGGCGGUGCUUUAUCACUAUCCAUGUCCCGACGGCGCUUUCGCCGCUCUGGCAGCUCAUCUCUACUUCUCCACCGCUUCUAAACAUCAAUCAUCUCCUCUAUUUUUCCCCAAUACUGUAUACAAUCCCCUCAGACCCGACCAGCUUCCCCUCCAUCAAAUUGCCGACGUUUACCUUUUGGACUUUGUGGGUCCUUCUGGAUUUGUUCAGGACAUCUCUUCUAAAGUUAACAGAGUGAUUAUACUGGACCACCACAAGACGGCUCUUGAAAAGCUCACUCAUGAUUGUUCAAUUGGUCAAAACGUGAUUAAAGUUAUUGAUAUUCAGAGAAGUGGAGCUACUAUUGCUUUUGACUAUUUCAAGCAAAAGCUUCUACAAGAUGCUGUCACCAACUUUAAUGUCGAUGUUGGUUCUUCUUCCCAUCACAAAGUGCUGAAUGAAUUUGAACGCAUGAGGAAACUUUAUGAAUAUAUUGAGGAUGGGGAUCUUUGGAAGUGGAGUCUUCCAAAUAGUAAAGCUCUAAGCAGCGGUUUGAAAGAUUUGAAUAUUGAAUUUGAUGCUCUCUUGAAUCCUAAUUUAUUUAAUCAGUUACUAUCUCUGGAUAUGGAGACUAUGAUUAGUCAAGGAAUAGUGAGUUUAUCUCACAAACAAAAAUUAAUAGACGAUGUUCUGAAUCAAUCAUAUAGCAUUAUACUCGGUGGUGGAGUUUUUGGACGUUGUCUGGCUGUUGAUGCAGAUUCUAUUUCAGAACUAAGAAGUGAAUUAGGGCACCAAUUGGCUACUAAGAGUCAAAACUUAAACUUAAGAGGCAUUGGGGCUGUUGUAUACCGAGUCCCUGAACUUGGGAAUGACCAGAUGUUGAAAAUAAGUCUUAGAAGUGUGAACGAAGAAGACACAACUCCCAUCUCACAGGAAUUUGGAGGUGGUGGCCAUAGAAAUGCAAGCUCCUUCAUGUUAAGCUCUACAGAAUUCCAGAAAUGGAAGAUUUGAAUACACAGAAAUAAGCAAAAGGGUGAUUUCACGUGCGCUAAUCUUUCAUUGAAGAUUGAUCUCGGCAGUGUUCGAGAUGGGUGGUGGAGGAUCUUGUGAAACUGGAUAAUGGCUUCUUGUCAACUUAUCAAUAAUCAGGUGAGAGAGGUCGUCGAGGCCGAUGGCUGAUGAAUUGGAAGCACACCAUGCAUCUUCUGUAAUGAAUUGCAUCCAUGAAUCAUCCUUUUCUUCUUCUUCCACACAAGAAGAUGAAGCUGCCAUCAGAAUAUCAGGUGAUAGAGUUUCGUAAUCAUUGACUAAAGUUUGUGAUGUUGAGUUUGAGUUCUCCAUAAAUGACAAGCUGCUGCUGCUGCUUUGCCCACCUACUAAUAGCUCUUCCACUUCUGAACAUAUUCCAUUUUUCUUGAAUACUCUACACAAGGCGUAAGAAUCCUGCAACCCAAUAAACAAAACAAAAAAAAAACACUUGCAAUUUUCAUCUCCCUUCUGAUUUGUCAGCUUUCUUUUCUUCUGCUUUAUAUUUUAAAUUUCAGCUUUUGAUUUUCUUUUUUCA